AACCAUUUCAUAAUUCUGCCAUUAACAAGUAGAAAAUGUUACGAGUUGCAAGAUUUUGCGUCGUUUUCUUGGUUCUAGCUGCCAGUGUUGUGGCCAGGCCUGAAGGCGGUUUGCCUGCUGGCGAGGGCGUUGCUGGAUAUAAAACAAAAGAAUUAAUGAAGAAACCCGCCAAUUACUUAUCGGAGGAUACCAGGGAAGCAAAAAAACAGGCAUCUGACUUAUAUUCUGAUGAAGCAAGUGACGAAAUUUUGGGAAGUGAAGAAUCAUCUGGAGAAUCGAAUGAAUUCGGACCCAGCCAGGACUCAUACGUGGGAUCAUUGAGGAAGCAAUCAAAUAAACAAUAUAGACAGAUUUCCGAGAUACCAGUGAUGACUGAGACAGUAACUUCAGACACCGUGACCACAGUAACCACAGAAAUCGGAACUGUGUCGACAGAGACAAGCCAGGAAACAACUGGAAAAUCCAGCCAGGAAACCACUGGGAUGACAGUUGCACCAACAGUGGAAGAUUGGCCCAAUGAAGAGGAAUCAAACGAGGAUCCAGUGGAGGAGACACAUGAAGAAGACAUUUGCGAAUCGCUUUUUGGAUUUUUAUGCUGGAUCUGAUCAGUUGAGCCUUCUGUUAAUUAUUUUUCUUAUUUGUAGCAACAUUUUAUUUGUUUGUUUAAAACGAAGCUCACAAUUUAUUGGAAUUCUUGUUAACUCAAACACUAAAUUGUGUAAUAAUGAAGCCCGUUCUGUGUAUUUUCGUAUUUCUCUCCGUUUUGCGGUUGAUCAGAGGCGUAGCCUUUCCUGUUAUGGAUCCGUUUUUACUCCAACCAGAUACGGACUAUGAAGAUGUAGAUGAAUGGGCCAGUUAUUAGAUGCCUUUCGCCAGCUAAUUGUUAAAUUCGCAAAAAAAAACCCAAGCAGCAGAGAAGCAGCAAUAUACUUUUGGACACUGAUGCUGCAUUUUAUAAUACUUUAAAAUGUAACCCUUGAGCGCUGCCAACAGCGUUUAAACGAUGUACAUUUAACACGUAAUUCGACUAACGGCAGAACAUAAAAAUUCAUAUUUUCUGUCAUGUUAAAGACCCCAGGGCCAAUCCCCAAGGGUCCUUUGGUUACUAGAAUAUUUACACUCGAUUUAAACGUGGGACAUCAGAUGGAAGAAUAUAUAUUUGAGCCUACGUCCAAUAAAAUAUGGGUCUAGUGACACUAAGUAAAUAUCUUGAAAAUCAAAAUAGAAAGCAAGCUCAAAUAUUUUAAGUAAAUAAUUGUGUACAAACAAAUGGAUUUAUUUAUAUUUCUAAUCUUUUUGCUGAAGAUCACAGCUCAAACCUUGCACGAUGGGGAUCCAUUUGCAAACGAACCGGAUGUAGAUUACCAAGAUUUGGAUGAAUGGGCCAGUUAGUAAGUUUUUUAUUACCAACUUAUUAAAAUAAUUGCAUGUUUCACUUUCAGAAUCAUAAGGGCUGCUGCUGUUUCCUCUAGCGUUGCCUAAGGAUGCCACUGCUGCUGCGGCGCUUCCUCUACGUUGCAUACAAUAUUUGGAACAUAGAAAAAAACUUAAUUAAAACAAACAAUAUGUUGCCCAAAUUGUUGCCGGACUGGCAGGGUUUCGGUAGCUGCAGAAUAUUGCAGUUUUCAGUUGCGAAAACCCCCUGGACCUGGGCAAAGUUUGUUGUUAAUACAUUUACUCGGCUUAAUUAGCUGAGAUUUUACAUUAUUCAUGGCCACGUGUGACCACCAAGUGUGCUUAACCUUUUGUGCUGUGCCAGCGAACAUCAUAAUUUUCACUUAAUUAAA
rnacentral:lncRNA from 1 species